rnacentral:rRNA from 1 species
CCUACGGGCGGCAGCAGUGAGGAAUAUUGGUCAAUGGUCGGGAGACUGAACCAGCCAAGCCGCGUGAGGGAUGAAGGUACAGAGUAUCGUAAACCUCUUUUGUCGGGGAGCAAAGGCGGGGACGUGUCGCCGGACGAGUGUACCUGAAGAAAAAGCAUCGGCUAACUCCGUGCCAGCAGCCGCGGUAAUACGGAGGAUGCGAGCGUUAUCCGGAUUUAUUGGGUUUAAAGGGUGCGCAGGCGGUCUGUAAAGUCAGCGGUAAAAUCCCGGGGCUCAACCCCGGCGCGCCGUUGAAACUGGGAGUCUCGAGUUGGAGAGAAGUAUGCGGAAUGCGCGGUGUAGCGGUGAAAUGCAUAGAUAUCGCGCAGAACUCCGAUUGCGAAGGCAGCAUGCCGGCUCUACACUGACGCUGAGGCACGAAAGCGUGGGUAUCGAACAGGAUUAGAUACCCCUGUAGUC